UAGAGGCACUUUUCCUUCCUUUU
rnacentral:snRNA from 1 species